GUUCAGUGAACUUAAUCGGAUUUUCACCAAUAUAAUGAUGAUUCCAUUAUAAUGUCUCAGAUUCCACCGUUUGUUGUUAGUCUUUGUACUUUUCUCUUUUAUAUUAUAAAGAUAAUUACAAAAGUUUAUUAUAUUUACACUCUAGCUGGAUGUGAUCCAUGCUAGAUACAAUAAUGUAACCCUGUGUUCUCUUAUCUUCUGCCACAAUAAACAGUCACCCAUUGUUU
rnacentral:lncRNA from 1 species